rnacentral:rRNA from 1 species
AACGAACGCUGGCGGCAGGCCUAACACAUGCAAGUCGAACGCUCGUAGCAAUACGGGAGUGGCAGACGGGUGAGUAACACGUGGGAACCUUCCCUAUGGUUCGGAAUAGCUCAGGGAAACUUGGGGUAAUACCGGAUAAGCCCUUCGGGGGAAGGAUUUAUCGCCAUUGGAUGGGCCCGCGUCGGAUUAGCUAGUUGGUGAGGUAACGGCUCACCAAGGCAACGAUCCGUAGCUGGUCUGAGAGGANGAUCAGCCACACUGGGGCUGAGACACGGCCCAGACUCCUACGGGAGGCAGCAGUGGGGAAUAUUGGACAAUGGGCGCAAGCCUGAUCCAGCCAUGCCGCGUGGGUGAAGAAGGCCUUAGGGUUGUAACCCUUCAGCGGGAAGAUAAUGACGGUACCCGCAGAAGAAGU